rnacentral:rRNA from 1 species
AUGGUUGAUACCGUAGACGGUGUGGAGGAACACUCCGGUGUGAAUCCGAUCUCGUCUACGGGCGAUGGGGGAACCUCGGUCUCUCGUGAGGAGUUCAAUGUGGCCUUAGAGACAUUGAAGACCUCCAUGACGACCGAGGUUGAAAGCAUGUUUACUAAAUUUCUUGAGGGGCUUAAACUUUCCACCGCACCGUUGAAAGUGGGUGAUCCCACCGACAAGGCGACGGAUGUUAUCCCCGACAAGGGGGAAGCUAGUAGUGAAAAGGCUCCGUCUUCUAGUGGUAAAAAUGGCACCGGCAUCUUUGCUCAUGUGGAACCACCAUUUGUUUAUGAUGGACCGGUUCCUUCUACUCAUUUGAAUCAUGCCGGUCCUCCCUUUAAGAUUGUGAAAAAUGAGGACUUUGAUUCUUGGGUUACCGCUUUAAACGUCAUUUAA